ACGCGAGCUGGGUUCAGAACGUCGUGAGACAGUUCGGUCCCUAUCCGUCGCAGGCGUAGGAAAUUUGAGAAGACCUGUCCUUAGUACGAGCGGACCGGGAUGGACGUACCUCUGGUGUACCAGUUGUUCUGCCAAGGGCAUGGCUGGGUAGCUAUGUACGGAAUGGAUAAGCGCUGAAAGCAUCUAAGCGCGAAGCCAACUUCAAGAUAAGAUUUCCC
rnacentral:rRNA from 1 species